rnacentral:rRNA from 1 species
UUCGGGCGUGUGUCGCACGUACGUAUCAUACGCACUGGUCUCCGAUAGCAAACGAACGUGACCGUACUCUAUUGUUGCAGCGAAUGUAUGCAUCUUCGGGUGUAUCUACCGCUGCUUAGCAUAUUUCAUGCCUCGUGCGUGUGUAUGCAUUAAACUAUAGAGACCGCUGUAUUUUUUUUAAACCAGAGGAAGGAUACGGCAAUAACAGGUCUGUGAUGCCCUCAGAUGUUCCGGGCUGCACACGUGCUACAAUGGUCAUUGCACUGUGCAUCUAACCCAAUGUGCGUGGACGCCACGGUAUGUAUUUAUGCUUCGGUGUAGUAUAUAUCAGUUGGUCGGCCGCGCCGAACCUACUUCGAAAGUAAAAUUUCUCAGUGGGUAAUCCAUUAGAAGUAAUGACUCGCAUAGACCAUGGUACACACUUAUAUAUGUACGCGCAGGUUCUACCCGGCCGGCCUUUGUGUCGGUGCAGUGCGUAGCUUGUUGUUUCGUACGUACCACUCCGUAUUAAUUCAUACGUGGGGAUAGAUCAUUGUUUAAUUGUUGGUCUCGGUCUUAACUAGGAAUGCCUUGUACGGGUCUCCGGUUCAACAUACCACCCGGAAUACGUCCCUGCCCUUUGUACACACCGCCCGUCGCUCUUACCGAUGGAUUAUACUAUGAAUCUAUAGGACUGCCCAAGUUGUGCACUCGUGCACGCUUAGUGGAAAUAUAUAUGAAUAGUG